CCUCAGCUCCCCUCAGCAGCCGAGGCUCCCGCCCAGCGGGCGCGUCCCUGAGCGCUGCCCGUGCCCGGGGAGGGCUGAGGGUACCCGGGGCAGGUGUUACAUUUCCAAGCAGUUCAUUCUGCCCUACCCCGCCGAGUUUUCAUCAGGCUUGAAAAGACACUGAGCGGCCAUCGGGACCGAGUACAGCCUGCAAACCCACCACUGGGGCUUGAAGGAGCUCUAAA